AAGCGCCGUAUACGCGAACCGUACGUACGGUGCUGUGAGAGGACGGGGGGGAAAACUCCCCCUCCUACUCGAU
rnacentral:ncRNA from 1 species